UACGGAGGGGGCUAGUGUUGUUCGGAAUUACUGGGCGUAAAGGGCGCGCAGGCGGCUUGGCAAGUCGAGUGUGAAAUCCCUUGGCUUAACUAAGGAAUGGCGCUUGAAACUACCUCGCUAGAGGACGGGAGAGGGAAGUGGAACUCUCGGUGUAGGGGUGAAAUCUGUAGAUAUCGAGAGGAACACCGGUGGCGAAGGCGGCUUCCUGGCCCGUAGCUGACGCUGAGGCGCGAAAGCGUGGGGAGCAAACAGG
rnacentral:rRNA from 1 species